rnacentral:rRNA from 1 species
GACAGAGGUGCCAAGCGUUAGGCGGAAUCACUGGGCUUAAAGCGCGUGUAGGCGGGUCGUUAAGUACCUUGUGAAAUCCCACGGCUCAACCGUGGAACUGCUGGGUAUACUGGCGAUCUUGAGGCAUCUAGGGGCAGCUGGAACAAGUGGUGGAGCGGUGAAAUGCGUAGAUAUCACUUGGAACGCCGAAGGUGAAGACAAGCUGCUGGGGAUGAACUGACGCUGAGACGCGAAAGCCAGGGGAGCGAACGGG